CUCAAUAUGAUCCACAAAUUGGAAGAAUAGUUUUACAUUGCAACUUCUUUUCAAUAAAUGAUAUAAAUGAAUUAAGUAUCAAGAGAGACUAAAACGUCAAUGAAUUGCAAUAAAUGAUAGCUCAAAUGUUAGAUAAUAAAAUUUUGAUGAAAAUGAUGAUUUCAAAAGUUGAUUCAAUUAAUGAAAAGUUUCAAAAUAAAUAGUUUGAUAAAAUAAAUAAACUGUAAGCUCAAAGAGUUUUGCUCAAUAAAAUUGCACUUUAAAU
rnacentral:lncRNA from 1 species